rnacentral:rRNA from 1 species
UACGGAGGGUGCAAGCGUUGCUCGGAUUUAUUGGGCGUAAAGGGCGCGUAGGCGGCCAUGCGUGUCUUCCGUGAAAUCCCUCGGCUUAACUGAGGACGUGCGGAAGAAACUGCAAGGCUCGAGUCCGGGAGAGGGGGGUGGAAUUCCCAGUGUAGCGGUGAAAUGCGUAGAUAUUGGGAGGAACACCCGUGGCGAAGGCGGCUCUCUGGGACGGUACUGACGCUGAGACGCGAAAGCGUGGGGAGCGAACAGG